rnacentral:lncRNA from 1 species
CUAUCCAUGUACUUAUAACAAGCCACAUCUGAACAUUAAACUGUAGGCCAGUGCAUUCUUGACAGCCCACCAGACAGUACUAGCUCUGAAUCACAGACAUUCCGGUUUUCAAUCUUACCACUGAUUACAUGAUAGCAAAGUUACACCUUGGUGAUGGGAGAAUUCCCACCACAAAAGUCAAGUUAGUGCUAUAAACAGCAUUUAAACAAUGUGUUGCUGUUUUUUACUUAAUUUUUUUCCAGAGAAAUAAAAAAUACAGCUCUAAGAACAUAAGAAGAGCCAAGCUGAUCAGGUAAGUGGCCCACCUUGUCCAGCAUCCUGUUUGCAUAGUGACCAACCAGAUGUGCAUGACAUUCUACACCUGUCACUGCACAGUAAUUUGGUGCUUGGCAGGGAAUGGAGAAGAAAUUGGUUUGGUCCACUUUUCACAGUGGUCUAACCCAUUCCAAAGUUCUUGAACUUGCUUGAUAUGAAGUCUUUUAGCUUAGCGUUUUCUUUUCACAUGCCUGUAGUUAGGUUGGCUGAGAUUAUUCUUAGUCAAGGUAGAUGAACCGGGCAUGCCCAAUUAAAUGCCGGACAUCCCUCCCAAAUGGCAGGCCCCCAAUGCCAUAUCACAAUCUCACCUGGAACCCCCGUCUGUUUCAAUAUGCAUUGUAUGAGCUGUUGUUCAAGGAACUGUGGCACCAUCAUAUGCAUAUUUACUUGGAAGUAACUCCCACUCUGUGAGGCUUACUUCUUCCCUGGUAAGUGCAUUUAGUAUUGCAGUCUUAGCUGCAAAGUUCUUUGGCUCAUAGCAAUCGCCUGCUUAAACUUUAAAUACAAAUAAUUAUGGGUGUACUGUGUGUACAUCUCUGGAUUGUGCUCACAAACUGCAAGUCAAUCCAAAUAAAAGGUUGUUAAUGGCAUGACUGCUUGCUUGCCUUGCUUUUAUGGAAGGGAUAUCCCUUUAUUUUUGGAAAGGCAGCAGAAAACCUGUUUACUGCACUGUACAUAACUUAAAGGAGUUCCUAAGAGUCUGACAGGUGUCACGUAUCAGGGAGUCCUCCUUGUUGCUAUAAAUCUGUUACUCACAAAUGAGUCACCCAACUAAUAAUAUAUUCUCUUCUUAUACAUUUGAUACAUACACAUGUAUAGAACAAAAAAAAUACAUAUUGAUCACCAGUAUCUUCAUUUUAUAUAUAUUUAAAGGUCAAUAUAAUUCUAUUAAUAUUGUUUACUUAUUUAUGUAAUAUAUAUCUCAUGCCUUCAACAUAAACCUUUGUGUCAUAUAUAUCACAUGCCUUCAGCAUAAAUUCCCACGGGACCUAACCAUACAAAGCCAUAUAAAACAGAAUGCAAACAGAAUAUAUAAAAUUAAAGCAACAACAACAGCUCAUUAAAAUUGCUAUUUUGGUUAUUGCAUAAUUCUAUUACAAGUUGGAAAACAUUGUUUUUUAUCUUAAUUGCAAAUACCUAGAGCAGAGCAAACAUAAUAGCAAUGAGGAAAUGAUAAAUAUUGCAUUAUUUCUGAAACUGUACCACAGCCCAUGUGAGUCCUUAUUUCAAUAUAUUGGCUGGAAGAUUCCCCUGUUCCCCCAGCUGUCACAUUAUUUAAAUACAAGGUACCCUGGAGAAUGAAAAACCCAGACUUACAAAGGCAGUGACAGGAGUUUAUUCAGAUUUUUUUUUCCUCACUACUGCAAAGUUUAUCACUGCUUUUUAGUGACUGACAGCUUUACACCCUUAUCUUCACCAAUAUUUCUCUUCAUUGGGUACCGAACAAGGAAAAGAUAAGUAUCAAUCCCCUCUCUCCCCCCACAAGCAAACCCACAAAACAGAGUUAACAUGUUAAAAAGAGAACUGUUACCUACCAGCUCAACUCUUCCAAAACCUCCAACUCCAAGUGUGUCAAUGAUGUUGAAGUCAGAUAGUUUCAGGUUGGCAAAGAAGGCAGCUUCGGCUUCAUAUCUGGAUUUUUUAAUGCGAAAAAAUGGAAAUUUCUUAGAAGUGCAAACGUGAGUGCUACAUAACUCUGUUCCUGGAUGACAUGCGCGCUGAACGGAGUUUACGAGCUUAAUUUCCAUCUUGUCUCUCAAAGUUUCUUUGUUUUCUCGCCCAUUGUCUUAUUGGUCCACGUUCAAAACCUGUUUGCAUUUCCGCCCCCAAAAUAAACCAGAGGUGCCAACAGAAUGUCUGUGUAAUGCAAAUGCUUUGCGCUAUAAUUCAAUUCCAGUUAUCAACUGAAGGCUACAUCUUGACAGUUUCUAUUAAUCUUCUCGUGAAGGUGGGAGGGGUGGGGCUUUUUUUGGAGGAUUUUUAUUUUUUUUGCUUUUCAAUAUUUCUGGAAGAUAAAGUCUUUCAUAUGAGUUUCUCUUGUCCGCAAGCUGGCAGUUUCUAUAAAUGUUUAUUGAAAGUGGCAAGAUCAUUAAGGUCCCCGGAGAGAAACCACAGCCAGGUUUUAUGAAAUCAGAUCCAAUAAGCUGAGGAACUGGCGUGUGGAUGUCUGAAAGGAAUUAUUUCAGACACCCAUUAACAUUUCUAAAAGAACAUUUCCCCUCCUCCUGCGUUUAGAAACUCAGCCUACAAAUUCAAAAGCUUUGUGGUUCCCAGAUCCAGGAGUUGUCUCUUGAGUCUGUGUACAGAGAGGCUUGUAAUAAGUGUGCACAGGACGAGCUAUGUAAGCCAUGUGAAACUGACACAUGUGCGCAUGCCAAAACUAAGCCUCCCAAGGGUAUACCCAUGCAGAUGCAUCUCCCAAAAUAACUUCUUCUUGGGGAUGACAGUAUUUUUAGAAAGGCUAAGAGGGCAAAUGGGAGAACAGGUUCCACUCACUUACUGAAGUUUCAUCUGGGAAGUACUUGGGUGCCAGAAAAAAAAAAAAAGACCUCACGCAUGUGCUGCCACCUUUGUUCUUCAGAAACUGUAUAUGGUUCUAACAUUUACCAUGUACAGAACAGAUGGUUUCUCAAGCAUUCCAAAACAGACUAUGUGUAAGGUCACAUGGGCUAACGAAGUAAAAAUUAGAGGGUACUUAUUUAGCCGUGCCCUUUUAGCUCAUUUAUUCCAGCUGGAUGUAGGUGUCUUCCUGAAACACACUCAAAAGCGCUUCUUCUUUUUUUAAAGUAUACUUCUUUAGGUUUCAAAAACAGGUGACCAUGUAUUAUGGGGGUGAACACAGUUCAGAAGAAACACUUGGGCAUUUAAAACUAGUUACACCUUGGUCAGUGUGUUUAAUUUACUAGCAUGCCUAAUAAAAAUGUGAAUGUUUGGUGUUAAUGGCAUUUUUUAUUAAUUACACAUGCUUAUUUUCUGCUGGUUGUCAUUACUCGGGAGCACACUAAAAUGCACACCUUCAUUUGUGCCGGAGAGUACACCACCAGCAACAAAAAAAAUCACAUGACCAAAAAUAACCACAUUUGACUGCUAACAUGACCAGCAACACACACACACACACACACACACACACACGAUUAGAAAUGUUAAAUGCAUGUGCAAAGCAACCCUAAGACAUUAUGCUUGACUAAGGUUUCAACAUUUUAUUCACAUUGCUAGACUAAAAAAAGAAUGUAAUUCUGAUAGAUCUUCCUGAAUAUUAUUUUUCUCCCAGUUUAAUAUAUGUAUAUAGCAGUGAUUCUGUCAUACCUGUAACUGUUUAGAAUCUAAUCUAUGUGUCUGGAUAGGCUUGUGUAAACAAAAAUGUUUUAAGCAGGUGCAAACAAGAGUUCAGCAAAGGCACCUGCCUGAUGUCAAUAGGCAGGAAGUUCCAAAGUGUAGCUGCCACACAAUAUACAAAUUUCUUACAAGCACAGAUAUUAUUUGACACUUGUAAGCAAGCAGUGCUGGUUCCACAGACUGAAACAAGUUAACCAGUGCCGAUCUUUGAGCAGAGGUGUCACAUGCUGACAGGAACUGCAGUUUCCAGGUAAAGUGUAAGGGAAGCCCCGCAUAUAGUACAGUGGUACCUCAGGUUAAGUACUGAAUUCGUUCCAGAGGUCCAUUCUUAACCUGAAACUGUUCUUAACCUGAAGCACCACUUUAGCUAAUGGGGCCUCCAGCUGCCACUGCGCCGCUGGAGCACGAUUUCUGUUCUCAUUCUGAAGCAAAGUUCUUAACCCGAGGUACUAUUUCUGGGUUAGCGGAGUCUGUAACCUGAAGCGUAUGUAAUCCGAGGUACCACUGUACAUUGCUUAGGCUCUCCUUUAGUUAAAGAACUUUGUUUGGGUGGGUGGCUGAGGUAUGGCCGGCUGUCUUCUGUGCCCCUUGAUCCACUGGUCCAUUCACAAAACAUGGGUUAGCUUUAAGGUAGAGAGUGUUCCCACUCUCUCUACAGCUGUUAUUUUCCUUGUGUCCACUACUCAGUGGGUCCAGACAUAAAGGUGGCAAGCAGCUGCAGCAAAAGUCACCAUCAUCCCUCUCCCUCUGGGCAUGCCAUGUGGCAGUUCAUGCUCUUCAUCCUUUUUCCUGCUGCUACCUGAUGGACCCAGAAGGAGAAGGCUCUGGUUCUUGUGGUAGUCCCUGUUGCUGCUGCUCUCCCUUAGCUGAUAAUCUUAUGAGCACUGAGGAGCAUACACACAGUGAUAAAGAAAAUUCAGCCACAAUGUUGGGAAUUCCAAUCAGGGCUCCUGUCAGCUGUUGCUGUCUGGGACUUGGGCCAUGGCAGCUGCCCAACUAUGUUGUCCCCUAAUGGCCAUAGGUGGGGAGGGGGAUGCUAAAAGUCAGAUGCGGGGAUAAAGAUUAC